UCAAUGACACAUAUUAUUUUGUCAAGAACAAAGACUAAUAAAUACGAUUUUUGAUCUGGCAGGUAAAGUGGACACCUAAAAGAGCUAAGUGUACAAAGAGACUGAUCCAGUUAAUCUUUGGAGGAUUAAAACCCUGUUCCUAGGAAGGAAGACGGCCUGAGUUCCAGACAUGAACCUUCAAUUAUUCUGGAUACAUUUCAACGUCUGGCUGUAAUGUUGUCAUCCAAGAGCUCUAAUCAAUGGACUCUGUCCGAGUUUCUGGGCCAACGGAGGCGGCUCCUGGGCCUUGGAGCGCUGCUGGCCUGGUUGGUCCUCUUCCACCUCCUUGUGAACGUCUGGCUUCUCUGCAUCUUCACCAGUCUCCUUGUGGUUCUUGGGGGUUGGCUCGGAUCCCGAGCCAUUCUGGAUGCCAAUAGGCUUUUGCACUUGGAGCACUUCCUCCCUCUCGGUGGGGGGACGCCUCCUCUGUGCUCUGCCGAACACGAGUGGAGGCUCAACCAUGAGAUCCACAACGCCGUCCACAAAGCAGUGCGUGACUUUGUCUCCUCCUGGUAUCGCACUCUGCUGCCAGAGGUGGAGGGCGAGUUUGAGCGUGCGGUGCGUAACUCCAUGCUGGAGUCCGUGAUGGAGCUGAAGGAACGUGCGAGGCAAGUGGACAGAAAGGCUCUGGUCCAACGUCUUCUAGAGUUGUAUGGCUGCCACCUGCAGAGCUACAUGACAGCCAGACACGUGCAGCAGACACGUGGAAAGAAUGUUAGCCUUUGGCAGAUCUACCAGGAAAUAGAGAGACCCCAUCCAGCUGUGAGCGAUGCAGCUGCUGAGCUCAGCUAUGCAAGAGCUCUGGUGAACCUGGUCUUGCAUGUGCUUGUUCCGUACCCUCAGAUGGAAACCAGGACGGGAGGUUACAUGGUUACUGAACUCAUCACCUGCAAUGUACUUAUUCCGCUCAUAAGCAGGGUGUCUGACCCCGACUGGCUCAACCAAACCAUUGUAGACAUCUUCAACAGGUCAAGAAAACCACAAGAGGGCGCCCUGUACCAAUGUCAGUUCCACCAAGAUUCCUGGACCACCUGCCAGUCAUUUUCCGACCAAGCAAGCCUGGCAAGUGAGAGCAGCUCUGAUUUCCGUGAGCUGUCCAGCCCGAUCAGUGAGGAGGACUCAUCAGAAUGCAGCAGUCUGAUUUGUUCUGGGAAGGCUGAUACUUGCCACGCGGGUCUGCUCACACCGUGUAAGGUCAACUGCUGCUCCCUCACAUCGGGACAGUACUCUCACCUCCAAGUACUCUCAGUGGACUCUCUGAUGCAGUCCGACUCAGAAGACGACAUGACUAGACGUUUGUGUGAAUGCGGCCCCUCACCCAACUUCUGCAACUCUGUGAAUGUAAAGGAUGACGUGGACGAUUUUGGCUGCUUUGCUCCACUGAAAAAUCUCGGGCCUAAGAUGACUGGGCCUGUGGACGCCCACUGGCCUGCAGGGAUUGCUCAAGAAAAAUCCCCAGUCGGUUCUUCAAGAAGACUUUCCCUGGGCCCCUUGAACUCUGAUGUUCCAAACAAACCAGCCUCGUCAGUGAACAUCCAGAAUGUGCACAUCGCUGGAAUAGUCAGUGCAAAGGAUCAGCGUGGAAUUGGAGCACAUCCUCUCUACACAAUCACGUUUGAGACAGCGCCAUGCCUUGAACGCGCCGACCUCCUGCAGUCUUUGGCCUGUCACUCGGUCAACCGGAGAUACAGCGAGUUCCUCAACUUGCAGACUCGUUUAGAGGAGAACCCUGAAGUGAAGAAGUUCAUCAAGAAUGUAAAAGGCCCAAAGAAAAUGUUCCCUGACCUUCCGUUUGGGAACACAGAUGGUGAGAAGGUGGAAGCCCGUAAAGGUCAAUUGGAUACGUUCCUUAGGCAACUCAGCAGCAUUCCUGAGACGGCCAUGAGUGAGGACAUGCAGGAGUUCCUGGCUCUAAACUCGGAGGUUUGCACAUAUUUUGAAAGAAAGCCAUUUGGCAAGUCAAGAAUCGAUAAGAUGAUGGAAAAUGCUUUAGACACACUGAAGACUGCCUUUCCUCACCCAGAGGUCUUAAGUCCUACAGAGGACCCUGAAGGAGACUCUGAUGGCAGAACAAUGGACAGCAGAAAGUACAUGAGGCUCAUGUUCCCAAGUAAAGUGUCCCCGUCUCUCAAUACACCCGACUUACAUCCUAAAGUGACUUACAGCUUUAGUGACGGCAGCCCUGUGCUCAAUGGCAUGUCCUUGUCCAGAUUGGAGAGCUUUGUGCAGGAGCAGGAAAGACUUCUGAACGAGCCACAAGGCCGAGGGACAGCCAAGCAGAGUGACGCCUCCACUGCGGACAAGAAGACACCCGGGAAAACUACAGACACAGCUGUGGCGGAUGUUGCUCUGAACAUCUUGUGUUUGUUGAUGAAGGACCAGUGGAGUUGGCUGUGCACUGAAAACAUCCAGAAGACCAUCAGACUCCUCUUUGGCACUUUUAUUGAGAGAUGGUUGGACGUAGGGGUGGCCCACCUCACCAGCGCCCCCUGCUGGGUCAUUUACCUCCAGGUGCUGCAGGAGGCCGUGUGGCCCGGAGGCACACUGCCCGCUCAACCGCAGCCUGAGCGCAGCGCCGCAGAACGAGGAGAAACCAAGGAGCGAUGCCUGGAAUGUCUAACGCAGCUACUUCCAGAGCUCAUCACUGACUUAUUAGGCAGUGAGAAGUACAGACUGAGCUUAGAGACCACGCUGGAGUCUUUACAGGACCACCACAUUAACAAGUUGUAUCAAUACAACGAAAGAAGGGGUCAGUCUUGGAUGUACAAAAUUCAAAAGACUUGAGUCAAAGGCGAUCCUAAAAUUCAGGAGCACCUUCGAGAGAAGUCUGAGUCAGAAUCUGCAAGAAAACGAAGAAAGAUAAGCAGAAACAAGAGAAAAAGGCACUCUGAUCUCUCAGUGAGCAACGUCAAGGCCUUUGAUCAUUGGAGGAGCUGUCACAAGACGACACCCACCUCACACAAGCGUACAUCUUCACAGGGUCGAGUGAAGACACGUCAUCUUGAACAGAUGAGGGCGAUAAGCUCAGCCUUUGGCUGUAAAAAUGUCCACAGUUAGUUUGCACUGUGGACACAAUUGCGUACAGUUAAGCCCCAAAUUAUUCAUAUCCAGGCCACAUUUGGAGUAAAAAUAAAACAGUAGUAACUAGACCAAAAAACUAAGUAGCAUUCAAUGCCUCAUUUCAAAUGAGGCAAACAUGAAAAGAAAAGUGACAGAAAAAUGAAAAGGCAAUUUGUUUCUUUGUCAUUGACAACCAUGACACGCCAAGAGCACCGCACAGUUCCAACAUUGUAUUUAGAUGUGCUCUCCACACCAGCAAUACAACUCUUCUUUAUUAUCCACCAAUCACAAUUCGUAAACGCUGCACUUUUGAACAUCAACAUUACAACACAGGCAACUAGAACUACAUUUUGCCCAAUAAAGACACAAAUCUUGCAUGAACAGUAAGUUUAACGAACAUAAUUGUGUAUCAAUGAUCAAUUUCUGCUUGAGUUGUGUGGAAUGUUAGUUUUUUUUGCACAUUUUGCACACAAUUUAUUUUCACUUCAUAUUUCUGAAUGUAUUACUCAGUUAUAAUUUAAUGUAUAUUACUGAAGUAUUUACAUUUUUAUUCUGUUCACAAUGCAUGGCACAGAUUUCUGUAAAUAUAAAAAAGCAUUGUUUUUGGACAACAUUUUUGUUUUUAUUAAAAUGUUGAUUUGA